GGUUAAGCGACUAAGCGUACACGGUGGAUGCCCUGGCAGUCAGAGGCGAUGAAGGACGUGCUAAUCUGCGAAAAGCGUCGGUAAGGUGAUAUGAACCGUUAUAACCGGCGAUGUCCGAAUGGGGAAACCCAGUGCAAUUCGUUGCACUAUCGUUAACUGAAUACAUAGGUUAACGAGGCGAACCGGGGGAACUGAAACAUCUAAGUACCCCGAGGAAAAGAAAUCAACCGAGAUUCCCCCAGUAGCGGCGAGCGAACGGGGAGCAGCCCAGAGUCUGAAUCAGCUUGUGUGUUAGUGGAACGGUCUGGAAAGUCCGACGGUACAGGGUGAUAGUCCCGUACACCAAAAUGCACAGGUUGUGAACUCGAAGAGUAGGGCGGGACACGUGGUAUCCUGUCUGAAUAUGGGGGGACCAUCCUCCAAGGCUAAAUACUCCUGACUGACCGAUAGUGAACCAGUACCGUGAGGGAAAGGCGAAAAGAACCCCGGCGAGGGGAGUGAAAAAGAACCUGAAACCGUGUACGUACAAGCAGUGGGAGCACCUUCGGGUGUGACUGCGUACCUUUUGUAUAAUGGGUCAGCGACUUAUAUUCUGUAGCAAGGUUAACCGUAUAGGGGAGCCGCAGGGAAACCGAGUCUUAACUGGGCGUUAAGUUGCAGGGUAUAGACCCGAAACCCGGUGAUCUAGCCAUGGGCAGGUUGAAGGUUGGGUAACACUAACUGGAGGACCGAACCGACUAAUGUUGAAAAAUUAGCGGAUGACUUGUGGCUGGGGGUGAAAGGCCAAUCAAACCGGGAGAUAGCUGGUUCUCCCCGAAAGCUAUUUAGGUAGCGCCUCGUGAACUCAUCUUCGGGGGUAGAGCACUGUUUCGGCUAGGGGGUCAUCCCGACUUACCAACCCGAUGCAAACUACGAAUACCGAAGAAUGUUAUCACGGGAGACACACGGCGGGUGCUAACGUCCGUCGUGAAGAGGGAAACAACCCAGACCGCCAGCUAAGGUCCCAAAGUCAUGGUUAAGUGGGAAACGAUGUGGGAAGGCACAGACAGCCAGGAUGUUGGCUUAGAAGCAGCCAUCAUUUAAAGAAAGCGUAAUAGCUCACUGGUCGAGUCGGCCUGCGCGGAAGAUGUAACGGGGCUAAACCAUGCACCGAAGCUGCGGCAGCGACACUAUGUGUUGUUGGGUAGGGGAGCGUUCUGUAAGCCUGCGAAGGUGACCUGUGAGGGUUGCUGGAGGUAUCAGAAGUGCGAAUGCUGACAUAAGUAACGAUAAAGCGGGUGAAAAGCCCGCUCGCCGGAAGACCAAGGGUUCCUGUCCAACGUUAAUCGGGGCAGGGUGAGUCGACCCCUAAGGCGAGGCCGAAAGGCGUAGUCGAUGGGAAACAGGUUAAUAUUCCUGUACUUGGUGUUACUGCGAAGGGGGGACGGAGAAGGCUAUGUUAGCCGGGCGACGGUUGUCCCGGUUUAAGCAUGUAGGCUGGUUAUCCAGGCAAAUCCGGAUAAUCAAGGCUGAGGUGUGAUGACGAGGCACUACGGUGCUGAAGUAACAAAUGCCCUGCUUCCAGGAAAAGCCUCUAAGCAUCAGGUAACAUUAAAUCGUACCCCAAACCGACACAGGUGGUCAGGUAGAGAAUACCAAGGCGCUUGAGAGAACUCGGGUGAAGGAACUAGGCAAAAUGGUGCCGUAACUUCGGGAGAAGGCACGCUGGUGUGUAGGUGAAGCCCCUGCGGGUGGAGCUGAGACCAGUCGAAGAUACCAGCUGGCUGCAACUGUUUAUUAAAAACACAGCACUGUGCAAACACGAAAGUGGACGUAUACGGUGUGACGCCUGCCCGGUGCCGGAAGGUUAAUUGAUGGGGUUAUCCGUAAGGAGAAGCUCUUGAUCGAAGCCCCGGUAAACGGCGGCCGUAACUAUAACGGUCCUAAGGUAGCGAAAUUCCUUGUCGGGUAAGUUCCGACCUGCACGAAUGGCGUAAUGAUGGCCAGGCUGUCUCCACCCGAGACUCAGUGAAAUUGAACUCGCUGUGAAGAUGCAGUGUACCCGCGGCAAGACGGAAAGACCCCGUGAACCUUUACUAUAGCUUGACACUGAACAUUGAGCCUUGAUGUGUAGGAUAGGUGGGAGGCUUUGAAGCGUGGACGCCAGUCUGCGUGGAGCCAACCUUGAAAUACCACCCUUUAAUGUUUGAUGUUCUAACGUUGGCCCCUGACCGGGGUUGCGGACAGUGUCUGGUGGGUAGUUUGACUGGGGCGGUCUCCUCCCAAAGCGUAACGGAGGAGCACGAAGGUUAGCUAAUCCUGGUCGGACAUCAGGAGGUUAGUGCAAUGGCAUAAGCUAGCUUGACUGCGAGCGUGACGGCGCGAGCAGGUGCGAAAGCAGGUCAUAGUGAUCCGGUGGUUCUGAAUGGAAGGGCCAUCGCUCAACGGAUAAAAGGUACUCCGGGGAUAACAGGCUGAUACCGCCCAAGAGUUCAUAUCGACGGCGGUGUUUGGCACCUCGAUGUCGGCUCAUCACAUCCUGGGGCUGAAGUAGGUCCCAAGGGUAUGGCUGUUCGCCAUUUAAAGUGGUACGCGAGCUGGGUUUAGAACGUCGUGAGACAGUUCGGUCCCUAUCUGCCGUGGGCGCUGGAGAAUUGAGGGGGGCUGCUCCUAGUACGAGAGGACCGGAGUGGACGCAUCACUGGUGUUCGGGUUGUCAUGCCAAUGGCACUGCCCGGUAGCUAAAUGCGGAAGAGAUAAGUGCUGAAAGCAUCUAAGCACGAAACUUGCCCCGAGAUGAGUUCUCCCUGAGACUAUAAGUCUCCUGAAGGAACGUUAAAGACGAUGACGUUGAUAGGCCGGGUGUGUAAGCGCAGCGAUGCGUUGAGCUAACCGGUACUAAUGAACCGUGAGGCUUAACCUU
rnacentral:rRNA from 1 species